rnacentral:rRNA from 1 species
UACGUAGGGAGCAAGCGUUGUCCGGAAUCAUUGGGCGUAAAGCGCACGUAGGCGGAUUGUUAAGUCAGGGGUGAAAUCCUGGAGCUCAACUCCAGAACUGCCUUUGAUACUGGCGAUCUUGAGUCCGGGAGAGGUGAGUGGAACUGCGAGUGUAGAGGUGAAAUUCGUAGAUAUUCGCAAGAACACCAGUGGCGAAGGCGGCUCACUGGCCCGGUACUGACGCUGAGGUGCGAAAGCGUGGGGAGCAAACAGG